rnacentral:rRNA from 1 species
UGGGGAAUUUUCCGCAAUGGGCGCAAGCCUGACGGAGCAACGCCGCGUGAGGGAGGAAGGCCUGUGGGUUGUAAACCUCUUUUCUCUGGGAAGAAGAUCUGACGGUACCAGAGGAAUAAGCAUCGGCUAACUCCGUGCCAGCAGCCGCGGUAAGACGGAGGAUGCAAGCGUUAUCCGGAAUUAUUGGGCGUAAAGCGUCCGUAGGCGGUCGAUUAAGUCUGCUGUUAAAGACUACAGCUCAACUGUGGGCAGGCAGUGGAAACUGAUUGACUAGAGUACGGUAGGGGUAGAGGGAAUUCCUAGUGUAGCGGUGAAAUGCGUAGAUAUUAGGAAGAACACCAGUGGCGAAGGCGCUCUACUGGGCCGUAACUGACGCUGAUGGACGAAAGCUAGGGGGAGCGAA